rnacentral:rRNA from 1 species
ACAUCCAGAGAACUUAGCAGAGAUGCUUUUGGUGCCUUCGGGAACUCUGAGGCAGGUGCUGCAUGGCUGUCGUCAGCUCGUGUUGUGAAAUGUUGGGUUAAGUCCCGNAACGAGCGCAACCCUUAUCCUUUGUUGCCAGCGGUUCGGCCGGGAACUCAAAGGAGACUGCCGGUGAUAAACCGGAGGAAGGUGGGGAUGACGUCAAGUCAUCAUGGCCCUUACGGCCAGGGCUACACACGUGCUACAAUGGCGCAUACAAAGAGAAGCGACCUCGCGAGAGCAAGCGGACCUCAUAAAGUGCGUCGUAGUCCGGAUUGGAGUCUGCAACUCGACUCCAUGAAGUCGGAAUCGCUAGUAAUCGUAGAUCAGAAUGCUACGGUGAAUACGUUCCCGGGCCUUGUACACACCGCCCGUCACACCAUGGGAGUGGGUUGCAAAAGAAGUAGGUAGCUUAACCUUCGGGAGGGCGCUUACCACUUUGUGAUUCAUGACUGGGGUGAAGUCGUAACAAGGUAAGCGUAGCGAG